UACGUAGGGGGCUAGCGUUGUCCGGAUUUAUUGGGCGUAAAGAGCGUGUAGGCGGCCAGGUAGGUCUGCUGUGAAAACUCGAGGCUCAACCUCGAGACGUCGGCGGAAACCAUCUGGCUAGAGUCCGGAAGAGGAGAGUGGAAGUUCCUGGUGUAGCGGUGAAAUGCGCAGAUAUCGAGGAAGAACACCCGUGGCGGAAGGCGGCGUCGUCUGGGACGGUAC
rnacentral:rRNA from 1 species